UACGGGGGGGGCAAGCGUUGUUCGGAAUUAUUGGGCGUAAAGAGCGUGUAGGCGGCCAGACAAGUCUGCUGUGAAAACUCGAGGCUCAACCUCGAGCUGUCGGUGGAAACUGUCUGGCUAGAGUCCGGAGGAGGAGAGUGGAAUUCCUGGUGUAGCGGUGAAAUGCGCAGAUAUCAGGAAGAACACCGGUGGUGUAGACGGCUUUCUGGACCGUAACUGACGCUGAAACACGAAAGCGUGGGUAGCAAACAGG
rnacentral:rRNA from 1 species